CUGAGGCUUGGAGAAGUUACACAACCAGCCAAAGGUCAUGUGGGUUGUAAGGUUACAACCAGUCAAGUCAGGAUUCAGAACUAGAACUGCUGAACUCCAGGGCCAGGACGGGCUGGGGGUCACCGUGGCGCGGUGUUCCGCAGGGAGGAGGAGAGGGGGCCUGGGGGCUGGGUAUGAAAGCCAUUAGACAACUCUGAAGGAGAAGCAGUAGAAGGUGAGUGAUGGGAACAGCCGGGAAGUUGGAUGACUGCUAGCCUUUGAGCUUGAGAGUCCGAAUGGAUUGCCUUGUACUCUUGUCCUGAGAAACAGAGGAGGAAGCACCCUGGGGUUGGGAGAAAAAGACCAACGAACUGUGUUUAGAACAUGCUAGAUAGGAGUUAUCUACAGACUAUCCAGGUGAAAAAAUCAUCUCCAAAAUCAGCAAGGUGUGGAAGGUCGUGGAUACUAAGUGUGGAGAACCAUCCAGGGAGGAUACGGAGAGCAGCCCGACGGCAGAACGUGGAAAACAUGGACUCCAAGAGGAAACAGAGCAGAGGACACAGAGCGGAAACCCCAGAGGACGCAGCAGCGGAGAGGCGGGGAGACUGGCUGGAGGGUUUCCCUGAGGACAAAAUGAAACCAAGCACGAAGACCCCUAGCAGAGCCCUGGGCAUGCAAGUUGGUACCCAGCCAAAGGUAGCUAUCAUGCUUGACAGUCCAAACAUUAUACACAUAUUCAAACAAAUCCCAGCCAUGUGGCUAUUUAUAUCAAUGUGUCCAUUUAUUCCAGCUGACCUUUGUUUUCCAUCUAAAUUGCAUUACCGCUGCAAGUGAGCAGUCACUAGGCUGAAAAGGAGGAUCAACAACACAACUGAGGGGCAGAGGCUAACGGGAGGCCUGGAGGCACUUGGACUCAGGGCCCGAGUUGGGUUGGAGGGGGUGCUCAGAAAGCAUCGCAGCCAAUAAACACUCUGUGUUUCCAUAGUGACGUUACCCUUCUAAGAGCGCGGCUUGACUGAGCAUCAACCUUAUAAUUAUUAACUCAGAUUCUAAACAUGAGAAGCCAAACGACCCGAGCAGAAGGAAAGCCAGGGACAGUCUUAUCAAGAAUGAAUCAGCUUCUUUGAUCUUGAGGUAAACCAACCCACUAAACAUCAAGCUUCCACCUGGGGUUUUUCCAGACACGAAAAUGGUUGCCUAAUUCUCAGCUGUCUGGAGGUUCCAGUUCAAACCGGCCUUAAAGAAAAAGAAGGGGAAAAAAAAAAUAGUCCCAUCACUUUGCCAGCGUUCACACUCCAUUAAAAACAUACACAGAUCCAUGCUGCUCGUCCAAAGAGAUAAGGCCUCCGAAAAUAUUUUUAACUAAAAACAAUCCAGGUGAAGUGAAGACAGAUUAUUCCACCGAAUUUGGAACUCAACAUUCAAGUAUAAAGAGAGGGGUAAACAGAAUGAAAACAGAGAGCAGAGGUAGAAGGCAUUCAGAGGCUAGGCAGAGAAGCAGGCGAUGGGAGGAAAAUCCAGAAGGACAUCAAAGAAGCUGAACACAAAGUACACAGAGGGAGCUGGUGCAGGCGAGGCGUGCAGAAAUGGAUGAAAAACAGAGAAGAGUCAGAAGAGGGUUCAGCUGGGCAAGCACCGUGGAAAUCAGCAUCUCGCACUACACUUCCAGAAGCCUCUCCCCUACCUACCCACCCAGACUGUGCGCGGCACCGUGAAUUAAUCAGCACGUAAAUCACUGCCUUUAUCUGCGGAAAUUGAAUUUAGCUGCCAAUCUUGAUUGGGGGCAUAGAGGCCUCCUCCCAGAAAGAUCCCAGCUCUCAGGGAAAAUGCCUUUUCUUUCCUUAAACCAAAGCUUGCAUAAACCCAGGGAAACAGCUGCCGCUGGAGCCACAGACUUUGCGAAAGGUGGCAGGCUGAGGACGGUAAUUAUAAUUAGCAGUUACAUAACAUGUUUGUUCUUCAAAGUGCUCUACAAGCAUCAGCUAAUUAAUAGCUUACUAUGCCC
ensembl:lincRNA